GUAACAAUGAAGUAUACAUUUUAAAGAAUCACAGAACUCAGAAGUUUUUUUCCUAAAUUAUUCUUUAAUAUGUCAUUUUGAAUUUGCAUUAGCAUAGACUGAGAAACUUGAAUGGACUGAUGUACUGAAUAUUGAUUUAAUUCUAUGAAUUCAUAUUGAGAAAAAUAUAGUAGUAAAAAUUGAUAAAAAUACACAUUUACUAAUACAUGUAUUUCUAUAAAUAAUGGAAAGCCUCCUCAUAAUAUUUUACAUUGAGAACUAAAAAGGAUCCUUUGUGGAAUAUGUGGUUUUUUUCUGUCUUACAUCAAGCAAUUAUUAUUAUUAUUAUUAUUAUUGUAUGCAUUUACUUUAUUUAUUGAUUUUUCUAUUGUUUAUGAUGUUGAUAGUGCUGUAUUAUGACUUUCAAAGGUGAUUUUCUGACAAUGGAAGUACACGAUCAAGUGUAAUUCAAACCUUAGGUACAUAUUACCUCAGUUACUUUAAGGAUUUAAGUGCAAUGGCAGCGAGAAAGGAGAAAGGUCCCAACUCUGCUGCAGACAGCUUUUGUGACCUUGGUCAAACUGCUUAAACUCUCUGAGUGAAAUCCUACCACCACGAAAGUCAAGAGGAUUUUUGCCAUUUAUUUGAAUGGGGAAAGGACAUAUUUGAAUUCUGAAUUGUUAAUAAGAACAGGAUAACAUGUAUCUAACUCUCACAGCUCUUGUGAAGCUAAUUAAUCAGUAGAGUACUUUGGGAUCCUCAGAAGUAUAAUAGAAACUGCAAGUACUAUUAUUUAUUUGUCAUGUAAUUGGAAGCUAGCAGGGUAAAAAGUCAUUGAUAAAAAUCCAUAUCACAAGGUCAUUUCUUUCAAUGUUGCAAAUCUCUUCUUCAAUCAAGAGCUUUGUAACUGAUGAAAAGUACAGCCUAAUCAUAACAUUAUCAAGUCAAUUUAAUUGGUGCACAUGAGAUCAUAAUGAAGUCAUUUUUGCUAGUUACAGGCUUAAAAAUAUUUUUAUAGCACCCUUCAUCCUAGUGGAAACUUUAAAGACCUCACAGACAGGAUUAAGCUUCUCUGCCUGUGUUAUACAUCUGCCUUUGUGUGGCAGACACCGUCUGGUUUUAUAGUGUUUAAAAAUUUUACUGGUAAGUAUGAUAUUAUGGUGUUUAUACCUAUUAUCUAUUAAGUCAUUUACACUUUUAAUAUUAGUGUUCAUAUAUGCCAAAGUGCAGAGGCUGCACUUGUGGAUUAAAGGGGGUUCUGAAGUAGUAGAUUUUUCUUGUUUUUAAGUUAAAACACCAAUAAUUGUCACUAUUGCUCAAUCAGUUUUUAAGCACACUCUUUGUCUGUGGAAAUACCUUUCCUGCUGGCUGACAUGUCUGCAUGUUUUUGCACAAUGUUCUGUUUCAUUUUGGCAGAAACUUGAAGCCCAAAAACUAAAAUUGGUUUGGAAGUGAAGGUUUGGAGCAGCAAGGCUCCUACCAGCAAGCCCUAUUAUGUUGAUGAGAUUGCUUAAUUUACCUUGAUGUAAGCUUCCCUAUUGCAGCACAUGGAAGCAGUGCUAUAUAUAUAUAUUUUUAUUUUUCCACUCAUAGCCAAUGUGCGUGCAGAACUGGUGUGUCAGUGUCAGGGUCCUCUUGCCUCUUGCACUCUUGCACAUGCAUGGCUCUCCUCUUCAAGUAGUGCUCUCUGUGGCUGCAAAUCCUCAUGGACUACAGCUACAUUAUUACUCACACUGAAGUUCAUUGUACCACACUGACAAUGUUAAAGGGACACGAAAGGGAAUGCUAAAGGUAUCCUUCCAUCUACAGUAGUUGAAGGAUCCUGCCAUGUAAGAUCUGCCAAGCACUGGGUAUAAUGCUUUUUUCCAUUCGUCUGUUCUCCAGGCACCAGUUGGUGGCAUUGCUGUAAAAGUCCUGUGCAUCCAUUGGAAUUUAGUUUAGCCCAACCAAUGCCUCAGGUUUACCGUGAAUACAAAUAAAAUCAGGAUUCCCAGUUUCUCUCUCCAAGAAAAACAUCUGGGCUCUUAGGAAAAAGAGAACACAUCACCCUUCAGGCUGGCAGAGGUUUUGCUUUACAUGUUCCUGGAUAACUUGAGAAAGGAUGAGGAAGGAAUUAAUGCCUGUAGAAAACACUGUAAAUACAUUUACAUCCAGCUGUAAGAUAUACCCCUAAAAGUCAGUGGUGCUUCUAACUUGUACAUUUCAAUAUUGAUUCUUUGAAUAUUGGGUAUUACCAAGAAAAUAUCAGGGCCAGCAGGUAUGUAUUUUUGCCAGAAGGCAGGGUAAGUGACUUGCCUGUGUCUGCCAGAGGUCAUGCUUCCAACGCUCCUGAAGGCAGCAGCUGCCAAGCUGGGUGCCCAGAAGAGCUGCAUGCCCUUCAGACAAACCUUUCCGUGCCCCUCGUUCCUUGCAACGAUAACAUGAACCUAAUUUUCGUCCAGAGCUUAUCACAGAUAGACCUCAUUGUGCCACAAUACAUAUAAACGGUAGUAUAAUCUGGUGUCUUCUGAAGUUUAAGUUU
ensembl:lncRNA